rnacentral:tRNA from 1 species
AAGGGAGACCUAAUUCGGGUAUAAGACGAAAAAAGAGUAGUCGAAACCAAGAAUCAAUCCCAAAAGGUCGGAACGAGGUAUGUGGCUUUCAAACUAGGUUCUGGGUUCACACAAGACCUGAAUCAGGAACAAGGGCUAUUAGCUCAGGUGGUUAGAGCGCACCCCUGAUAAGGGUGGGGUCCCUGGUUCGAGUCCAGGAUGGCCCACCUGCACAGGUGGCAAAAACAAAGAAGCGAGGAAUCAGCACCUUAUCUUAUCUAUAUAUAAGAGAGAAUGCUGGCUCUGAGUAAAGAGUCCAGAGGAACCUUGAAAACUGCAUAGAGCUAGGUGAAAAAGCCAAAAAAGAAGACCGCAA